AAAAAAAACGAAAGGAGAGCUAGCGCUGCUUCCGCAAAAGGUGCGCGAGAAUUUCUUCUCCAUCCCGAGCCAAGCUUGGCCGCGCGAAAAAACAAGCAAAGCGGAGCGAGAGGAGGGCUGUCAUCCGUCCAAUACGUCUCACUCUCCGUGACGCGAAGCUGUAGACAUUCCUGCCCACCCAUAUCUGCGCGAACGCACGCAGCAACAACGUCCCCCUCGGUGCACGGUCACGCACACAUACACCAGCUCACACGAUUCAAUAUAGACGCAUAGACUUGGUAGAACAGGCGGGCACCAUAGCUCAUGGAGCAGCACACACGCAUACGUACACACACACACAUAGACACACAGAUCCGGUAUUUUUUUGGGCAAUGAUGUAUGCGCGCCGGUCUGACACAAUGGCGGACAUCUACGCGGUUGCCCAGGACCUCAUCGAGGAAUUAAGGACGAAUCUUGCAGAGCUGAGGCGGUCGCCAGACGUUCAGGCGCGCCUUCAACGCACAGCCGCCUGUAAAAUAGGGGCAGGGCGUGCAAGGUGCCACGGCCACUGCCCAGGCCUCAAGAGCACUGCCGAGAAGCCAAUUUUCUGCUUCCUGCCACUGACCACGGCACCAACGACACGCAUUGAGUUUUCCCAUGAUUUUCGCCGCAGUGAGGGGGCGGCUACCGAGCCCGACGACAAUGGUCCUUUGACCACUGCGACCACAACGCCAACCACGCGAAGCUGCUCGCGCUCCACGGUGACAAAGGCGAAACCCUCCAGCAGCACGUCCCUAUUAUCCAACAACACCAUGGGAGUGGUGCUCACCACUUGCCCCCAAAUCCUAGCAUCACAGUCUGUCAAGGCGGUCAAAGAGCCGAACUCUCCAGCCGGAGAACCAGCGGGCCACGUCAAACAUGCAGCCGCUGCUGUGGAGCCGAGUACGGGGGAUGACACGGCCGCUGCCACUGCUGCUUCAUCAGAAGUUCACACUGAUUCAGCCACAACGGCAUGGUGCAUACCCUUCUCUGGAGUCUCGCGGGCGCUGGUUGAUCUGAGGCGACUCACCCCACUUGCACGGCAGCUCUACACCGACAUGCAGCGCCGCGCUGCGGCCAUGCCAGCUGCCUCCCGAUCGGUCGAGUGGCGUCGCCGCACGGCGGGUCCACAGGACGCCGAGGUGCGCCGCGCGGUGCGGGACUACCUCUAUCGCAUGAACAUCAUCUCUGUCACGGAGGCCGAGGACACAUCCGUGACGGCGCCUCACGUCUUCGGAGACGCCGUCUUGAACGGAACUGCGCUGUGCCAGCUUGUCGAGACCCUUAGAGAGAGCGGCGAACCAUCGCUUUCUGAUCCAGUCCUGUGUCGCUGUCCCCGCACACUCGACGAAGUGCGCGUGAACUACGCGGUGGCGCUUGCCGCCUUGCGUAGCACCCCAAGCACAGCGCAAGAGCUUAUGCCUCGCGCUGCUUGGACGAUGACGCCGGAGGAGGUUUACCUGCGCGCCUCUCCGACGGCGUUGCUCUCUCUCUUUGUGCACCUCAUUUCCACCUACCUGCCCGCCCCAGAGGAGCUGCCUGUAUGGAGGCAGCACAUGUGCUGGCAGCCGCCCGCCGACACUGCCGACUACGCGCCUGUCCCACCCACCGAGCUUGCCGCCAUGGAGGCGGGGUGUUGCCGUUUUCUGCACGCAUGGGGAGUGUUGCCUGACGGCUCCGUCUACCAGUUGCCUGGGGAUGAGUGUCUCCUACCCAUCGCGACGGCCGCGCCGUACAUGGCGAAGUGGUCGGGAUUCGUAGUUCGGUCGGUGGCGCCGUCGUCUCUCAGCGUGCCGUCGGUGUGGCCAUUCCUAUGCAACGGCGUGAUGCUCGUGCUUCUUGCUCGGCGAAGCGGUCUGGAAGCGGCGGCGAAGGAGGCUGCCUCAUCCUCCGCUGUACAGCCCUUCUUCGCGAAUCCCCGCACCGUAGCCUGCUGCGCCGCCAACAUCACCAGCGCCCUGCACAGCUUUCAGACCGCAUCGACAAAGAAGUUGCCACUCUCGUUCAUCUCCGAGGAGUCCGUGGCGGCCGUCAUCCGAGGUGAUCGGUUGCACAUCCUCCAUCUCCUCCUUCACGUGCGUGCUGCUGUGGAGGGCACACCGCAGCCACCUGACGUGCGCUCUACGCUGCUGAGCAAGGAUGCAAUAGCGGAAGCAGGCUACACGCCUGCCAAGCUCUCGAGCCGCGCACCCGACAGUGAAGCUGUCGCGGCAUCGUUGUCAUCUUCGUGGCCGCCAGCUUCAUUGGCGCAGACGCCGUCGACUGUCGCUAAAGCCGCUCUCCGCCGGAGUGCGCCGCCGUCACCAGCACACCGGUCGUUGAGCCCCCGCUGUAUCCCGGCCAUCGCGAGCAGCAGCUCUGGUAUUCUCCGUCGCGAAGCGGUGCCUGCAGACGAGCCACAAUGCCUUGGGAGGCUGUGUGGGUGGCUGCGCCAGCAGCUGGGGACCGAGUAUCGCUACACCGCUGCUGAUGAAUCCUUUGUCUUUGACGCUGCCACCUUCUCCUGGCGGCACCCCUGCCUGCUCUUCUCCGACGGCGUUGUUCUCGCCUACCUGAUUGGGCGAUUGGAGCGCCGCCGCUGCUCGUUUCUCGACUGUGUGCAGCCCACUUCCAAGAAGCCUGCGAAGCUUUUCAAUGUACGGCGCUGCCUCGAAUUCCUCCGCUUCAAUGCCGGCGUUGUCUUCGACGUCCCCUUGCUGGACGAGGCGCUGACGGAAGGGAGGGUGGAGGGUGUUGUAUCCGUGUUGCAGGGGAUGCGCCGCCAUUACUGCUUGACGAACGUGCGACGCUCACACCAUGGCGCAUGAUUUUCUCUGCGCACCGCGCUUUGUCGAUCUUCUCUCCCUCUUCUCCAGCUCCACCUGGUGCCUCGCGGCUUUUCGUGCGUGCGCGAGAAGGCGGUACUGCUUCAUGGAUGGGCGUUAAGCUUUCACAGCCACCCACCAAUGUCCUUCUGACUCGACGCCAACGAGGUGCUUCGGUGCAUCUCGGCUGGAUGCCUCGAUGGUGCUACCUAAUCGACUCACCACACCGCUUUUUUUUUUCUCGGCUAAGCUGAUAUGGUCGAACUCGAAAAGGUGAUGCGACGGACGCUGUCACCGCGAGCUGCGCUUUACUUUUACACGUGUGCUGCGCGGCUCCCGCUCUGCUCCCUUGUCGCGAGCAACCAACAGCGGAGGUGCUUAGUGUGUGUAGGGGGGAGGGGGCGCACAACUCUUUUUUAGUACCUCGCCAACGUCUGCGUAUGAUCCCUAAAUUCGACGUGCAGUGCAUCUUGUCUCUGACCGUUUCCCUACGACUGCUUGCUCUCGGACUGUCGCACUCUCUUCCUACCCUUUCCUCUGCCUCCGCCUCUCACUGCUCUGCAAUGCGGAAGCACUUGCACCCCUCGAG
rnacentral:misc_RNA from 1 species